AGGUGGCGGAUGGGAGACGUCAUGCGAAGCCCCGUGGUGGUCGUGGUGAUGACCUGCAUGUCCACUAGCAAUGGAGCCAAAGAAAACUGGGCAGAUGAAGUCUUCAAUAGGAGCAAAAGUCUAACAGAGAAUUCACCAUUAGCUACUUACAAGGACAUAUGAAGAAUUUCAUUCGUUUCUGGCCUCCAGACCCCACGCAAAAGUUGCUCAAAGUUGGACAUCAAAGCAACACCAGAACCUGCAAAACAGUAAAAAGGAACAAAUAAAACCACCACAGCAGAAGAGAGCUUUGCCCUCCCCGUUUCCUAAGGAGAAAGGAUAACCUAAGAGAAACAAGAAGAUCAUAUCUCACUUCCCAAACUUGGAAGUUGUGACCCUGAAGUACCAGUUAACUGCGUCCACUAAGCAGCUUAUCCGUGGUGYGUUCACCUCGGCUUCACUCGCAGCUUCUCCCACCCCAGCCAAGCAGAUCCUUGCUUCRUUAGAGCCCCUCACCUUUGACCCAUCCCGUGGCCAUCAUAACAAAGCAGCCGUGGUGGUGAGCGUGGUGGACCCCCGCUGCAAUUUUGCGGACUCUGACCACCUCCUUCAUCGCCACGAAGACGAGCUUCAUCGGCAGGAAGCUGACACACUUGUAGAAGAGGUUCAUGGGACAGAAGAACAUCAAGUACCUGGAACAAAACCCCCAAAAGUUCAGGGAUCCCUCCCCAUUUGGGAGACACAGGCAGGGUUAAGAAUACYGUGGUGUUAGCCUGAAUUACGUGGGGGAAARGGAAAUGCUGGCAGUGUGGCACAAAAGCACACAUAGAGGAAAUUAACCUUUGAGGAAUCACGCUUAAUUUGUGCGCAUGUCACUAACAUGACCAAAAAUGACCCCCAAACUUCCCUGCCUGCCACUCCUCUACUCUGUGCGGUGUCAAGUGCAGCACAGGCUGCUUUGGGGCUUGGCUGCGGUUCAGCCGUGGCAGCUAUGAAUAGAAAUGCCGUGCGGCUGGCCUGGCCCCAGCACCUCUUCCCAGACACUGGGCAACUGGUCGGACAAACUGGAAACCAGAUCCAGGAACACAAAAGACUCGCAGGCGACUUCAUGCUCCCUCUUCUUGCCCUUGGUUUUUCCAAGCAGGGUAAUACACG